AGAAUGCCACCCACCACCAGAAUGCCAUCCACCACUUUCUCCCCAACCAACUCCUUUGUUAGAGCCAUUUCCAUCCCGUCCACCACCUCUAGUGCCAUCUACACUCUGGUUAUCACGUCGAGCUCUUGCUUUUUCAACUAACAAGGUAUAACCUCCAAUCUCAGUUUGAUCCAGUUCUAGAGCUCUCUUCACACUGUCAAGAUCCUUGAAAUCUAGGACAGCAAACCUGCAAAUUUUGAUAUUUGACUUGAGACUAGAACGCUAUACACACUAAUUCUUGCACUAAUUAUGUUUAAGAGAUUUCAUGAGUUCUACUCAAGGUUUAUACAAGGGGAUAACAGGAGAAAUUUAAAAAAAGAGGUCAUAACUCUUAAAAUCCCACAUCCAUUAGAAAUAUGAUUAAAAUUAUAAUAAUAAGUGUAAACUUCUCUUUACUGAAGAUUGAAUUAGGUUUAAAGUUUCCUUUCUAAGAUGGUACCAGAGUAUACCAGAGUCUAUCCUAACAAGGUUUGUUGAGUCUAUCCUAACAAGACUUGUUGAGUCUAUCAAAUCCUCUUUCUUUUCCCACACUCGAUGAUAAGACCAAAAUUAUAAUAUAUAAGUGAAUACAAACCUCUCCUUAUUAGUUCAGAUUUACAAGAUUGAAUUAGACUUAAAGUCUACUUUCUAAUAAUUCCUAAAGGAAAUUUUUUGAUACCAUUGCCUUCUGUCUCUAUGACCUGGCCUUCUACUCAGUGGGAAGUUUUAUGCUCUAGGUGCCAAAUGAGAGGGAGAGAGAGAAAAAAGUAUUCAACAAAGAGCUAAUUCUAUUUGUGUAAAUAAGAUAGUUAAAAAAGUAAAGUAACAAAUAAAAAUAAAAUAAGUAUCACACUCUAUGUGUGGAGAUUACUGUAUAAUCUCUAGAUAACUUCCAACAGUUGUGUAAACAAAGUGAUUUUUAUCCAGUUGAUGAAUGAUGUUGAGAUAAAAAUUAUUUCCAGCAAGCAGCAUCCUAAACAAACAAGCAAAUGAACCUUUUCCUAUUCUAUUUGUCUAAAUUCAUUGAUUUCACUCUAGAGGUUGUGCUUAAUUGUUGUGCGUAUAAGCUGUUUAUGAGCCAGAGUCUCAAUCUUAAUAAAAAUGUUGCUCAAAUAACUACUGCAUUGAAUAUAACCAUAGGGAAGUCUUGGUAUAUGCAAAAGCAGAAAAAAUUAAUGAUAAGAAACGGACAUAAAUAAAAAAACAUUAAAAGGAAGAAAAAUAAGGAUUAUUCCUUAAGUGGUGAUUGGUAAAAGCAGAAAUGGCAUUUGGAAUAAAUCAAAAAAAUCAUUUUGCUUUUGCAAGCUCGCAAUAAAGUCUAGUAUCUUUCAUAUUUUCACUAAACCACCAUAGAUUCUCUACUUAUUUCAUUAAGCAACAUAUGGACUGCUGAAAGAUUUAUGUGAAUAAACGGAGAAUUAAUCUUUACAAAUUAACAAAAUCAAAUUGCAUACUACUGAUAUAGAUACGAAAAGGCUCAUAGGUAAAUGCAGUGGCAUGUCAAAACAUUUAACAGUAUAUUAUAACCUAACUUGCAUCAGAACAAGAACACAUACCCCUUAAAUGCACCAGAAUCAUAAAAUUUUGGAAUUGAUAUCCUCGUAAUCUCUCCACAAGAACCAAAAUGCUCUUCCAGGUUAGCUUUUAUCUGAAAGAAAAAAGUAGGCAUUAAAUACAGCUAAAUACUCGUGUUAAACCAAGCAAAGAGUCAAUAGAAAGAGAUUCAUACAAUGAGUGCAGGAAGUGGUGUAAACAAUAAAAAAUGAUAAGAGAAAAAAAGCUACCUCUUCUUCCAUGAGGGAACAAUCAAAACCCUUGACAUAUACUGCUAGAGAUUGGAAUGAGUUGCUCCAGUGGCUAAAAUUAUUAACAUGGAAACAUCAAAGGGAGAUAAUACAAGAUAAAAGAAAUCUAAAAAUACAAGAGAUUAAAGACUCAUCUCUAUUUGUUUUAAAAAUACAUUUUUAAUUAAUUUUUUUAAGAUAGAACAUAACUCAUGAAAAAAAGAUGAGUAAAAAACUAUAAUAUGAAAGUGCUUUUUUUCCAAAGCUUAUCCAAACACCCUGGACAAACGAGUAUAUAAAUACAUUACAAGGGACAGUAAACCAUGCAAAUGCACAGUGAAAAAAUGUAAAAUGUUCUCCAGUUCAAAAUGGCCAUGUUGAAAUACACAUUAGAACAAUUAGGCAGGAAUUUGUCCAAACACUAACUAAUUUACUCAAGAGUCAUGCACUUGCAUGAUUUUAUUAUGCAUGUGUAGAUAUGUAGAUUACCUUUUACUGUAGCUAUAACUUUUUUCUCGAGCUAAUUCAACUCUGAUGGGACGUCCAAACAAUUCUGUAUGAUCCAACACAAGAGCCUGUGAUAUAAAAGUAAAUUGAUUGUCAGCUCAAUGUCUUCGAUAAACAUAAACAAACAGAUGAUGAUGAGGCACAGCCAAACAGGCAUAAGAAAGCCUAGAAAUAUAAAUUCAAAACUAAUUGGUAUGCAAAGACAAAGGUUCAAACAAUGAAUGUAGCCAACAGCACCUAGUUAGUUGAGACUUGGUGGUUCUCGUUUCAGGAAUGAUAAAGGGGAUGGCUUUAUAGUAAAUGACCAUUGACCAUGUUAAGAAGCAGUAUAGAAGUUGCACCCUAUGAGCUGGCUAGAACAAUCUACAAUGCAUGAGUUAAAAAUGUUUGGAUGAGAUUGUUAGAAAAACUGCUUAUUUCCUAUUGUAAAACCAUCUUUGGUUGCAUACCGAUUAUAACCAUUCUGUUCAAAGUAAUCAGUAGGUGUCCUAAUCCUAGCUGAGAGAUAUAGUGUACUUUGUGUACUUUAUUUCUCUACUUGAUCUAAUCCUCUCUUACCUUCAUAUAUAAAGUACGUAAGUAAAAAACUAUAGCCCUGUCAAAUUUUCCCACCCGAAUUAUUGUGAACAUACAUGACUUGUUGUUAUAAAAUAAAAUUCUUUUCACAUGACUUUUAAAACAUGGACAUUGAAAUCGCAGGUCUGCAGUUUUGGAAUGCUUUGUUUGUUGUUACUGUAGAAGCAUGAAAUGGUUUAGAUGGAAUACUAAUGCUAUGGCCAUUUUAAUUAAAGAAGAUAAUAAAUUCUCAAUCUGUUCUACUUAUUUAAUUAUUGAUAUAACUUUAACUCAUAAACAUCUCCAAAUUUACUUCCAUGAAUUCAAACUCUCAUUUAGAAGUGUUCUCUAAACUCACAAUUUAGAAGAUUUUUUUUCAAAUUAAAAGAAAUGAAUGUGAAAAAAAAAUAUGUUUUUAAUAUUUAAAGAUAUGUCUUUAGAAUUAAUUCAUUUUAAAUUUUCUUCAAUAUUAGUUGUUAACAAAUAUAAAAUUAUGCACUUUCAUGGCUAUGAACAUUAAUCAGGAGGUAAAAGUAUACUAUUUUAUGUUAAAUGCAAACAAUAAAAACCUCAUGAGUUGACAUAGUAGUUUGACAUCACAGGUUCACACGAUGUAAGGAUGAUCCAUGUCGCAGGAAUCGUAUGAUUGAUCCGCUCCAUGCACAAAAACUCGACGGACCAGCAACAAUCCCACCACCCUAAGUGGGAUUUGUAUAUGGCCUAGUGAGCUAAAAGAAUGUAUUAAAAUUAUAAAAUAAUAAUAUUAUAUUUUUAAUAAUGAUAUACAUAUAUUAAAUGAUAAAUUAUGAUAAAAAUUUAUACUAAAGUGAAACAAAAUAAUUAAAUGAUUGAAUUUUUAAGACUAUGACCAAGUACAGCACAAUAGUAAUGUUAGUAAAUAACAAAAGUAAUAGUUUAGUUGUAUGUUACUCUUGUAUGUAUACAAUUUAUUAGCAAGUUAACACAAAUAAAAAAAUGUAUGGUCGAAACUUAUUUCUUGUAGGUGUUUACUUGCCAAGAUAAGUUUUUACAUAUGAAUAACUGUCUAUCAUAAUUUCAAGAGUCAAAUUUCAAUACGGUUAAAAAUUUUAUAUGUGUGUUGAUGAUAUAAUUAACCAAAAACUAAUGAUGGAUAUUAGGAAGUGAGUUUAAGUCUAACUCAUUCUUACAAAACCGGCUUAUAAGAUGAGGAUAGCCUCACUUAUAUAGUGUAGAUUGACUUUAUCUUUAGGCGACAUGGGAUCUUCAACAUACACCUCUCACGUCAAGGCAUGAACAUCUUGUGCGUGAGACUAAAUAUUUGUGAGUGGUCCAAUAGUGACCUGAUAACGGGUGGCACAAGAGGCUCAUCAAACCUUGCUAGGAUAGUCUCUGAAACCAUAUUGAGAAGUGAGUUUAAGCCUAACUCAUGCUCACAAAACCGACUUGUAAGAUGAGGAUUGCCCCUACUUAUAUAUUGUAAAUUAGCCUUAUCUUUAGACAGUGUGAGAUCUCCAACAACGGAAGAUUCAAGCCAUGCAGGCCAGUUCUAAGAUUCUCUUGUUUUUUCCAAGUGUUUAUUGGGAUAAAGGUGGCAAGAGAUAAAAAUUAAUUCAAAUCAUGCAAUGCAACAUAACACGCCCAAGGUAACCAAGCAUAGGACAAUGAGGCAGAGGAGUAACAGGAAAAAUCAAGUCAUAGAAAACAUAAUACAAGCAUUGAGUGCUAUUAAAAAUCCCGCAUCGACUAGAGAUAAGGACAUUUCAUAGUAUUAUAAGUACGUGCAAACCUCACCUUAGAAGCUAGUUUUAAAAGGUUGAGUUACGCUUAAAGUCCACUUUUUAAUAAGUGUCAUAAAUAUAAAGGGCGCACACCUUAAUCCAAAUUGAUUUGGUAGAGGGGUGGAGGGUAGACUUGAUUACAUUGCAUAGUUAAGUGCCAAUAUUUUCCCAUUUGGCACAAACAACCACUUAUGUAGAAGUUGAGGAAGAAGUGAGAUAAUCUUGAUAUCUAAAGCUUGAGUGGGAUAGUUGGAACCAUUUAAUUUCUCAGAAGCAAGUGUGAAAUUUGAAAAAUAGUUGUUGGGUCAAAAGAACCAUUGAAAGACAGUUAGCCCAAGAAAAGACCAAACAGAAAAUAAGGUAUUGGAAAUAUCACUCAGAGAAUGGGGUUGGGAUUGCCUGAGUGUGCGAAGUUGACAUCCAAAGGAUGAAUGGAACAAUCCAAUAACACAACACCAUGUGGUAUUGUUUGUAUGUUAUAAAAAUUGUUCGUGAGAAAGUAUUUGGACAUGUUGAGUGGCAAAAAAAUGUCACCAAAAAGAAAGGGUGACAACCAAAGAUUGGAGCAAAAAACUAGAUAUGUACUAAGUUGAAAAAAUUGUGGUUGUUGACAACAGGUCCUCAAGGUAGAUCACGAUUUUCAAGAGGUCACAUUCAGGCACUAGAUACCAUGUUUAGAAAGAGAAAACAAAAAUAUUGGACACAAGUUUAUAUUGGUUACGUACUUAAUUAUACAUAUAUAAAAAAAUAUUAUGCUUCCUCAAAUCAUAUAUUAUAAGCUUAUAAACUAGCAUUUUGAUUAUUAAAAUACAUUAUAUAACAAAAAUGUAGCAAGUUGUGUCCUAAAGAGAUUUUGAAAAAGAUAAUGGCAAUAAAACAACAUGAAUCUUAAUACAUGUUUACAAAACUGAUUUAAGAGGAACUUCUUUUCCAUAGUAUUCUCUUGCACCUCCCAUCUAUUAUAUCAUGAUAUUCACACAUUAAACUAUAUAUGUGUGUGUGUGAGUUUGUAUGAGUGGGUGUGAGUGCAUAGAUUUAUGAUGUCAAUCCAUCAUUGUAUUCCAAAGAUAAGGUUAUACACUUCAUGAAGCAAUCGUGAACUGAUACCAUGACCAUCAUCAAAAUUGCACAAUUUAACAAAACCAACAACAAUCAAGACUGGAACACAACUAAGUACAAGGUAUCAAUUUACUUUAGCAAUCAAAUACAAUAAAUUUCAUUGAAAAUACUAUAUUGAUAAACAAUAUUCAAUAAAUCAAAUCGCAAAGAAAGUAUAUGGCUUUGUUGCUUCCAGAAGUACAACUAUCAUUCAAUUACCUUUAGCAGUUCUAAAUGAUUUGCAACACAAGGUCUUAAAGCUUACCUUUUGUGCUGCUUCAGCCGUUGAAAACUCAACAUGUAAAAAGCCUUUAGGCCUCCCUUCAUGAUCUGUAUGUGGAUGAACAUAAACAAUACCUCCACAUUCUUUGAAAAGAUUUUCCCUGAACAAUCUUGAAAUUAGAAAAAAUGUACAGAACAUAAUUGAUGAGCACCUUUAUUAAAAAUAUACAUACACAUCAGCCUGUUCCACUCCACAUGACAAGUUUCCAACAUAUAUCGUAUUUGAUGAAGCAUUUUGUUCUUUCAAAGUAGGUAGCAUUUUAGGCUGCAAAAUUCCAGGAAAUAACACGUAUAUAAAUGAUUCAAAAAUUUACAUUACAUUGGAAAUUAUGGUGCAUACAACUGUAUUGCCAUUAUCUAAUGUAUAUUAGGUAAAACAGUGAGUUGUAUACAAUGUAUUUUCUCCAUCUCAUUUAUUCAAGUGGGACAAAGUGUAUUCGAAGAUUAGAGAGUAAACCAAAAACUAAGUACAAGGUUCUAUGGGCCCUAUGAGAUCACAGAGAAGCUCAAAGACAUACUUAUAGCCUGUGAUUACCAGAAGGAAGCCAACUCUACCUUGUUUUUCUAUUCACUUUGCUCAAGAAAUAACUAACUGCAACCACCCAGCCACUACCUUUGGUUCUUAGCAGAUGAUUAGGUACUUCAAGUCAUCCCUUAAGAGAUCUUAACUGUCAGGAAAAUCAGUUUGGAAUCAAAGAGGUCUUGGUGUGAUGGCAACGACUACCACCAUUUGAAGAUCUCAGGGUAACAGUAGCUGAGUUGCAGGAGAGUUUCCUAAUCGCCGCAUUGAGGAUAAGGUGUUAGUUGAACUAGGCAGAGAUGAUACAGGCCCAUUAUUUCUAAAGUAUGUGUGAAAAGGGCCAAAAUGUGUGAUGCACCUGAUCAUGGCCAAAAACGCUAAAAUGGGGGGAUGAGUAGGGAAGAACACAUAAUCAUAGAAUAGUAGUACAACUGGAGAGAGUGUAGGAGCUGGGAGGCUGGAGCUUAGUGGAAAGUGAACCUUGGAGUUUAGACUUCUCCAAGUGCCUAAGGAGAGUUUCUUUUAUUUCUUCUUCCUUGAUUAUAUCUAAACAGUGCUAUAUUUCAUGAUCUGCUCCUUAAUGCACAAAAAAAUAAUACAAAUAUUUUAAGUAAUAUUUCUCUCUUUAAUUGAUACCUAACACAAUUUUACUCAUAUUUACUCAAAAGCUGCCUCAUUUACAUCCUUAACUUCUUUCACACAAGCCUAUACACACACUCCAACAAGUCAUAUAACAGAUAAACUUUCACCUAGCUUAAGUAAAUGCAUUUUGAAAUGCUCACACUUUCAUGAGGACUUUCGUGGGCUUUUUUCUCAAUUUCUUCCUCACAGUCCUCUGAAUACUCUGUAGUCUUCAUGGGCUGAAAUCUUUCAUGCUUUUGGAAAGAGUUGCUACAACAAAUAACAUUAUUAACAAAGAAAUGGUGAGAAGAGGCAAGGAAAGAAAAUUAUAUCAUGACUGAUUUUUUUUUACAAAGCUUAUCCAAGCACCCUAAAUAGAGAAUUAUUUGCAUAACAUGACAGAAUUCCUGCAAACUCAGGAAAAUUGGUUAAAAACAGCAAUAGGAGGCAUGCCUUUGAACGG
rnacentral:lncRNA from 1 species